rnacentral:rRNA from 1 species
UGGCUACGAGGACGAACGCUGGCGGCGUGCUUAACACAUGCAAGUCGAACGGUAAGGCCCUUCGGGGUACACGAGUGGCGAACGGGUGAGUAACACGUGGGUGAUCUGCCCUGCACUUCGGGAUAAGCCUGGGAAACUGGGUCUAAUACCGGAUAGGACCAUGGACUUCACGGUUUGUGGUGGAAAGCUUUUGCGGUGUGGGAUGGGCCCGCGGCCUAUCAGCUUGUUGGUGGGGUAAUGGCCUACCAAGGCGACGACGGGUAGCCGGCCUGAGAGGGUGUCCGGCCACACUGGGACUGAGAUACGGCCCAGACUCCUACGGGAGGCAGCAGUGGGGAAUAUUGCACAAUGGGCGCAAGCCUGAUGCAGCGACGCCGCGUGAGGGAUGACGGCCUUCGGGUUGUAAACCUCUUUCAAUAGGGACGAAGCGCAAGUGACGGUACCUAUAGAAGAAGCACCGGCCAACUACGUG